rnacentral:rRNA from 1 species
CCUACGUGAUCUGAGUUCAGACCGGAGUAAUCCAGGUCAGUUUCUAUCUAUAAGAAGUCUUCUCUAGUACGAAAGGACCGAAAAGACAUAGCCAAUGCUCUAGCAAGCUAUCCCCAUCAACUUAUGACCCAAACUUAAUAACAAAGUACUUCAACACUUAACCUAAGAAAAAGGCA